UCCGGCCGCAUAGACGAUGAGCAGCUGAGGCAGUGACUGAAGGCGACGUGUUAAGCUUAAAAAGCUCACUCGAGCGCCUUUAUGUUUCUUUCGUACCAAUUUUAAGCCAACUGAGGAACACCCUUAUCCCAAGUAAUGGUUCGACUACGAUGUUCCGGUAACUUUAAACCACGCCUGGUGUUGAAAAGGUGGCCAGUUUCAGAUGCAUUGAUGUUUAGUGAUGCAGUGGACAACUGUGAGGAUGAUACAAUCAACGUGUUCCUAAACUGUGAUGCUGAAACACAAUGGGAGGAUCAAUCCGUCUCUGAACACAACUACACUUUAAAGUCGCCAUGAAACGGAAGUAGCGAUUGCCUUAUUUUCCCCGUGGUGACGUAUAUCCGAAUGAAACGGCUUUUGAGAUGAAAUAAGGCAGGGCUGGAUUUGAAUUUGUCCAUCGAGAUCUGAUUGGAUCGUUUGAAGUUGGGUCGUGUUGCUAAUUGCUAAUCACUGCGAUCUUCUCCCGGACCCCGCCCACCUGCCAUACUUUUGACCGGAAGUGAAGAGAGAUCGUUUUGAGGAGGGGAGGAGAUUUGCAUUUUUGAUUAAAGAUUAUGAGCACACACGAAUUUUUAAAAAAUAAUGAAGCUCACAGAUAAGUCAUUUGUUAAUAAUACCACACUAUUAAAAAUACAUAUAUAGUUUUUCAUUUCAAUUUCAUUGCGACUUUAAAAUCACAACUCAACCUGAAGCAACAUACAUCUGAUAUGGGAAAACAACCUUGCAGUUUCCCUGACAGGGCUUAUGCUAGUCCCAGGCUAAAAUGCUUAUUUGAGCUACGAUAAUUUAAAUGCACCUUGUACUGACAUACCUCAACAUAUAUGAGUGUCAUUGUUUUGUCACAAGAUGCGCACCAGUCUUGUUUUUUUGUAGGAUUUGUUUGUAAAAACUAAAAUGUCCUAAUAUAAUUAAGGCCUAGUCCUGUAAACCCUGUCCGAGAAACUGCUUCAAUGUGUUGAGCUGGCACAAAUGUACAUAACUCUACUGAGAAACAACCAUCUUUGGUUCAGCUUUACACAGGGUUGAUAUUGCAUCCAUUACACAGUCGCCAAGCACUUUACCAGUACAUACACCAACAGCUUCCAGAUAUACGCUUGGGAUCAGCUCCUGAUGAAUCCGAUAAAGCUGUGUCUUAAUUUAUUGCAGGGUGGUCUUGCUUUACCUGUUGUAAAGUUACAUUAAACCUUCAUAUGUGAUCAGAUGUCAUGCAGUGAUAUUAAACAUUUACAGUGUGAUCAGAUGUUGUGCAUUUAUAUUAAACCUUUACAAUGUGAUCA